CUGCCCUCCCACACCGCAUCAUCUCGGGGCCAAGCACAGAAAUCAUUCCACGUGUGCUGGGCUGAUUUCAGUGCGGCUUCCCUGGGGCUGGAGAAGUGGUGGUUAAGGAUGCAGAGUCAGCCUACGUAGGGAAACCAAGAUCGCUCCCAGGAAACGGGCCAGACAUGAUUGAAAAAGCUCUUCCUUCCCUGGUGUGUGUAAUACACGUGUAUAUAUUUACUUGUAGCAAAUAAGUUUAAAUUUUCAAAGUUAAAUCAACUCGUUAAGACACAUGUAAGAAAGUUGAAAUGUAAAAUCAGUGGGUGGUGCAAUUUAUUAAUCUCUGUCUCUGACUGACUUGAAUCCAGGUGAAGAUGGUCCCUCCAUGAGGACAAUGGGAGCCACAGUCCUUUACAGUGUGUAUAGAGUUUUCACAUCCAUUAACUCAAACAAUACUGAAAAGACCAGCACGAUGAACAAAGCAGGAAUAGCUGCCUCCAUCUUUCAGGUGAGGAAGAUGCGCUCCCAAGUUUCCUACACGACGGAAGAGAGGAAACACGAGUGUCUCAAGGACUUUUCUCUCUGUGCCCCCUGACCCCACACCUGAACUGUGUGAGUCCCAAGGGCUCUGAAGCUAAGCUCCCCUGCCCGGCCCAUUUGCCGAGGGAGCUGCCAUCAGUUACACAUGAAAGACCAGGGUCGUUGAGUCGCCCGCUGCUGGAGGCGAGGAUUUAACAGGAAGGCUCGGUGAUGCCGGCUGCGUUUCCUCGAUGUUGCGGGGCAGGCAGCCAACAGCCAGAAUCCUGCUCCACUCUCUGAGGCUGAGAGAAGUCAAAGCGAGACCCCACACCGUACCCCGCAGCCCCCGGAAGACCCGGAGGCCCCCAAGCUGGGGUGCUCCCCAUCUCACAUUGUGCCCUGGCUGCAGCCACACUGCCCAGGCGACACAACGUCAGGCCGAGAAUCUUUAGCGCUGGCUUCCUGCCCCAGGACCCAUCCCGGUCCCCAUCCGCGCCCCCCAGCCUCCGAGCAGCCGCAUGAGAAUAGACCCUGAUUGGGUUCUCUCCUCUGUUAGUCUCCAUCUUAUCUAUUUUUCUGUUGAAUAAAAU
rnacentral:lncRNA from 1 species